AAAAGUGUCAAUUUCGGUGCCGAUAUUUCAUUGUUAUGGACACAAGGCUUCAUGCCAGGAAAAUCGUUAACGUCGAAGCUUAAAAAAUGUCUACAACUUAAAA